UGGGGAAUAUUGCACAAUGGGGGAAACCCUGAUGCAGCGACGCCGCGUGAACGAAGAAGGUAUUCGUAUCGUAAAGUUCUGUCCUAUGGGAAGAUAAUGACAGUACCAUAGAAGAAAGCUCCGGCUAAUACGUGCCAGCAGCCGCGGUAAUACGUAUGGAGCGAGCGUUGUCCGGAAUUAUUGGGCGUAAAGGGUACGCAGGCGGUUUAAUAAGUCGAAUGUUAAAGAUCGGGGCUCAACCCCGCAAAGCAUUGGAAACUGAUAAACUUGAGUAGUGGAGAGGAAAGUGGAAUUCCUAGUGUAGUGGUGAAAUACGUAGAUAUUAGGAGGAAUACCAGUAGCGAAGGCGACUUUCUGGACACAAACUGACGCUGAGGUACGAAAGCGUGGGGAGCAAACAGG
rnacentral:rRNA from 1 species